rnacentral:rRNA from 1 species
CAGCAGCCGCGGUAAUACGAAGGGGGCUAGCGUUGUUCGGAUUUACUGGGCGUAAAGCGCACGUAGGCGGAUAUUUAAGUCAGGGGUGAAAUCCUGGAGCUCAACUCCAGAACUGCCUUUGAUACUGGGUAUCUAGAGUCCGGAAGAGGUGAGUGGAACUCUUAGUGUAGAGGUGGAAUUCGUAGAUAUUAGGAAGAACACCAGUGGCGAAGGCGGCUCACUGGUCCGGUACUGACGCUGAGAGACGAAAGCUAGGGGAGCAAAUGGGAUUAGAUACCCCAGUAGUCCCUGUCUCUUAUAC